rnacentral:rRNA from 1 species
AGAUUGAACGCUGGCGGCAGGCCUAACACAUGCAAGUCGAGCGGCAGCACGGGUACUUGUACCUGGUGGCGAGCGGCGGACGGGUGAGUAAUGCCUAGGAAUCUGCCUGAUAGUGGGGGAUAACGUUCGGAAACGGACGCUAAUACCGCAUACGUCCUACGGGAGAAAGUGGGGGAUCUUCGGACCUCACGCUAUCAGGUGAGCCUAGGUCGGAUUAGCUAGUUGGUAGGUAAAGGCCUACCAAGGCUACGAUCCGUAACUGGUCUGAGAGGAUGAUCAGUCACACUGGAACUGAGACACGGUCCAGACUCCUACGGGAGCAGCAGGUGGGGAAUGUUGGACAAGUGGGCGAAAGCCUAGGAUCCAGCCAGUGCCGCGUGUGUGAAGAAGGUCUUCGGAUUGUAAGCUAACGUUUAAGUUGGGAG